rnacentral:rRNA from 1 species
GAUGAACGCUGGCGGCGUGCCUAAUACAUGCAAGUCGAGCGAACAGACGAGGAGCUUGCUCCUUUGACGUUAGCGGCGGACGGGAGAGUAACACGUAGGUAACCUACCUAUAAGACUGGGAUAACUUCGGGAAACCGGAGCUAAUACCGGAUAAUAUUUCGAACCGCAUGGUUCGAUAGUGAAAGAUGGCUUUGCUAUCACUUAUAGAUGGACCUGCGCCGUAUUAGCUAGUUGGUAAGGUAACGGCUUACCAAGGCAACGAUACGUAGCCGACCUGAGGGUGAUCGGCCACACUGGAACUGAGACACGGUCCAGACUCCUACGGGAGGCAGCAGUAGGGAAUCUUCCGCAAAGGGCGAAAGCCUGACGGAGCAACGCCGCGUGAGUGAUGAAGGUCUUCGGAUCGUAAAACUCUGUUAUUAGGGAAGAACAAACGUGUAAGUAACUGUGCACGUCUUGACGGUACCUAAUCAGAAAGCCACGGCUAACUACGUG